UGGGGAAUCUUGCGCAAUGGGCGAAAGCCUGACGCAGCCAUGCCGCGUGAGUGAUGAAGGCCUUAGGGUUGUAAAACUCUUUCACCGGGGACGAUAAUGACGGUACCCGGAAAAGAAGCCCCGGCUAACUUCGUGCCAGCAGCCGCGGUAAUACGAAGGGGGCUAGCGUUGCUCGGAAUUACUGGGCGUAAAGGGCGCGUAGGCGGAUCAGCAAGUUGGGGGUGAAAGCCCGGGGCUCAACCUCGGAAUUGCCUUCAAAACUGCUGAUCUAGAGUACGGGAGAGGUGUGUGGAACUCCGAGUGUAGAGGUGAAAUUCGUAGAUAUUCGGAAGAACACCAGUGGCGAAGGCGACACACUGGCCCGUUACUGACGCUGAGGCGCGAAAGCGUGGGGAGCAAACAGGAUUAGAUACCCUGGUAGUCCACGCUGUAAACGAUGAUUGCUAGUUGUCGGCAGGCAUGCCUGUCGGUGACGCAGCUAACGCAUUAAGCAAUCCGCCUGGGGAGUACGGUCGCAAGAUU
rnacentral:rRNA from 1 species